rfam:Octopus bimaculoides Scaffold73908_contig_10, whole genome shotgun sequence.
CCGACGUGAUUUAUAGGAUCAUUGCUAAAAUAUCUUGUAAGUGGCAAACGGGAGCUGACUUUACGUGCAGUGAAAUCCCAUUCCACCAUGUCGGAAAUAAAUCUUGUCCCCUGGCUGCUUAAGUCGGGUGAGGACUUGAACAAAGUAUAUUCCAUAACUUCUCAUAGUCUCUUUGACUAUUACUGGGGAGUGAGACCAUACUCGGUACAGUU